GUCACUUCCAGGUCUGGGGGCACUCAGGUCCAGCAGACCCCUGCCUCAUGCCCCUUGGACAGCGACCUCUCUGAGGAUGAGGACCUGCAGCUGGCCAUGGCCUACAGCCUGUCAGAGAUGGAGGCAGCUGGGAAGAAACCCGCAGAUGUGUUCUGAGCUGGAUGCCGGGUUCCAGAAUCGCUGCACAGUUCCAACAGGACAGCGCCUUCCCCCAUGCGCUGGGAGGGGACCCUCCAUUUCUCCCCCUCACCCAUGCUGAGUGUAGAGCCGGGGCCUGGGUGGCGGGUGGGGGCCGGGUGGGAGGUGGCAGUAGUCUUAGCCUGUGCACUCUCUUCCUUGGGUGUUUGGUGCUGGCUCCUGGGGACUACAAAUCCCAGAGUGCGGUGUGCCCGGCCUCAUUUCUGAUAGAUCCCGCUUGGGGGAGGUGGUGUAUGGUUACGGAGCUGUGCAUCUUGGGACAUGUAGUAGCCCAGGUCGGCUUGUCACUCGCUGUGAGAUGGGGAGAUUUUGUCUUUUGAUUUAUCCCUGUAGGGCUGGCAGGGUUGUAGAUGAAGGGGGAAUGAUCUGAGCCUUGGUUCCCCUGACACGUCUUGCUAGCCCCAGGGUUAGAGUGGGCAGGGCAGAGCCGCGCAGCACCUGGGAGCGGUACCUUUCCCUUGGGCAGCCUGGGGUCCCAGGAACAAGCCAGGGCGAGUGGCAUGUCUGCCUGAGCAGGGUGUGGCCCCAGAAAGCUGAGGAGUGUGGGCUGGCAGAGAGCUUCGAGGGCAAGGCCACCCGCGGGGGCGUGUGUGUGGUGGGGCUUGGCAUGUGAUGGCAGCUCCAGGCAUGCCGCUGCUUGUAUGGCUUUCUUUGGCCUCUGACCCUGCUGCCCAUUCUUUCCAACAUCACAGAUGAACUGCCUCUCCUCCUCCCUGCCUGGGGAGCCCAGUGGCCAGGGAGGGGAGUGGUGGAGCCAGUCGCUGUAACACUGAGCCUCAGAGACGAACCAAAACCAGCUGGGCUGAGCUCAGAUCCAGGGGGAAAUGCUGGAAGUCAAUAAAACUGAGUUUUGAG
rnacentral:lncRNA from 1 species